GUAAUCGGUUUUUCAACCUAGCUCAGGAACUGUUUAUAUUUAUUCGCAUUGACCUGUUGGAUCGAUCUUGUCAAAACACAGACUCGAAGCGACUCCGGCAUGAGUCAACUUUUUUUUCACCCCGCCGUGGCGAUCCUGUGCGAUUUGAGCUGACAACCGAAGAGCAGUUGAUACUAGACCAUUUCAGAGGACAUUGAAGAGUUGACCACAGUGGUAUGGAUAUGCAAUUAUGUGUAGCCAGAUUAGUUCCUCAGGAUCACAGAUGGCUUUCUUCCAGUCUGGAUUUGUGGGUCCUGAGAUGACUAAAUAAUCCAAUACUAUUUCCGCAAGCCCCUUCACAGGAGGUCAAUAUAAAUGAUGGACAUGUAUGCAGACAAGACAGUUAAUUGGCCUUUGUCAGAUCAUUAAAUUUCCAAUUGCUUCUACAAGAUGAACGAACCCAUAACCAGAAGGAAAUGAUAAGGACAGGAAGAUGGGUGCCUGACCAAGGUUCUCACCACUGUUGAAGAAUGAAUCAUCCAAAUUGUAGUCAACAGUGGGUCUCAGCAACAGUUGACAGCAAGUCUAGAGUGUGGCCAUAGUCUAAAUGCCAGGCCUCAGUCACUCCUGGAGAAUGAGAAAGAUGACAUCAGUGAUCCCAAGGAUGCACCAGCACCUGCCCCUCCCACAUCAUCCGCGAGGAUGUACCCAGGAUUGAUGUUUGUGCUGAGACCCUGCUGAAGAAUGUGGAAGCAAGGUGUAUAUAGUGCUAUCAUUUUUGCUGGCACCAAUAUCCCCUCUCAGCUGUUUGGAGGUUCCUUGCAAGCUGAUCAAUGUGCUGACACAUUGACUCCUGAUUCCAGAAGCCGCUGCUGCACAUGCACCUCAGAGAUCCCUUUAGCAGGAAAAGCAAUUACAGGGAGCAUAGGCUGAUAUCAGUGGCCAUUGUACUGAAACAUCCCCAUAUUUUGCCAGGCUCUGUGUCCAAAGGUGUUGCUGUGAAUGAGUUGUUCAACAAUGCAGGGAGGUGCACAGUUUACGGACAGCUAAUACAUUUAGUUCACCAGUGAUGAGGGACCUCAUGGAUCUGUAUUCUCUACAGUGCAUGGUCUGUCUAUAAUGCUCUUUCUCUUUAAAGGGCCUCACUUCACAGGAUCCUAAAACUCUCUCCUUGACAGAUCAAAGAUACUGACCCUUGGUGUUCAGGUGUAUCUGCAGCCAUUUUCCUUCUCUUUAUGUAUUUUGGAUUUCUAGAACGAUGGAAAGUUCGGAAAGCACGCUGCAGCCAGUGCUUUCCAAACUUCAUCUCGAUAUGUCAGUGAGACCUGAAUAGCCAGAUCCGUCUCCUGAUAGCCCUCCCUAUGUAACCACCUCUGGUCCCCAUACAGGUGCCUGUACCUACCCACCUUCCUGACCCAGCCUCUCGUGUGUGAGAUGAGCAUACCAGCUAUGGUUAUAUACAGCCCUUUUCCCCCCAGACCAUGGAUAAACACUUCUUCUUGCAUUAUCCUCUUCCUAUCCAUACUGUAAUGUAACACCCUUUACAAAUAUAGUUGCUCACUUCAUAAUUGUCAACCCCCUUCCUGCCAAUCUGCAGAUCCCAAAUAGGUGCCCAAGUCUCAUUCUGGUAGCCGGGGCCCCUUUUGUAUCCCAACCCCACCUCUUUGGACGGACUGAGGACUGUUCAUGGCACAUCCCCUUGUGAGACCUAACCAAGCUGGUAUGAGAUGCUGCCUUUGACCCACUAUGUCAGAACCCCCUGACUGACCAGUGCCUCCAUGCACUUUGAUGACAUGGGAUGCUCGCUUGCUGCACAUGCAGAGUGUUUCUCAUGUAAGCUGUUGACAUAUGGUGUAGGUGUGAGAUUGUUCUAGUUCACUGCGAUACAGCAAAGAUAUAAACCCCCUUGAUGGAGAGCUGCUGAUUAGCAACACAAACAUUGGUUAACUAUAUUAGGUUAGAUUCCCAACAGUGUGGAAACAGGCCCUUCGGCCCAACCAGUCCACACUGACCCUCCAAAGAGUAACCCACCCAGACCCAUUUCCCUCUGACUAUUGCACCUAACACUAUGGGCAAUUUAGCAUUGUCAAUUCACCUGGCCUGCACGUCUUUGGACUGUGGGAGGAAGCUGGAGGACCCAAAGGAAACCCACGUAGACACGGGGAGAAUGUGCAAACUCCACACAGACAGUCGCCCGAGGUUGGAAUCGAACUUGGGACCCUAGUGCUGUGAGGCAGUAGUGCUAACUACUGACCCACCGUGCCAUAUGGAAAGGCAUGGAUGCUGCAAGCAAAAGGCAGGUGCCAAAUGAAAAAGUGAGAGCUGGUAAGCAAGAAGGCAGUCCUUAAUGCAUCCUGGCCAAAUCUGUGGGUUAGGUGCUUCUCCCGGUAUACAGAAACCUUUCAUUGCUAGUUGCCGGUGUGACCUGUAAUGGAAGUCUGUUGCUUUCAGAGCAGUCUGCCAGUGUAUCAAAGAGGUGCCAUGAUGGUCGUGCAAGGUUGGCAAAUGUCUGAUGCCAGUGUUCAUUGACAGGGAUGGGUGUGGAUUAUGCCUAUGGAUCAUGCCCCAAGAUGCUAUUUAAUGCUGAGCAUCAUUCAAGCUCCCCUCAGAUGGUGGCAAACUGAAGUCACUAGGUAUCCGUUUUGAUUUCCAUGUUGGGAAUUCUCAAUGUCUAGCUUGUUUGCGGCAUUUAGGAUGACCGGAAGCUGCAUAUUAAUGAGACAAGUUCUGACAUUGACAAAGAGGUUUUCAAACGAUGCCCCCCCUCCCGCCUAAUUGAAACUUGUUACUACCUUGUAUGAAAAAUGCAGCAAGUUGCUCCUGACAUCAUGAUGGACACUGCUGGACUUUUUGACUGAUCCUGCCACAGAUCUCCCUAUAGCUCAUAUCACUCACGUUUCUAUCAGAUUGCACCCACAACAUUUUAAAUCAGUCAACAUUCAUAGAAUGCAAAUAUAUUCCAAGUAAAUGUGAAGCCCAAACUAACACUCUACUGACUUAAUUUUGCAGUCUGAACCUAUUGCAAUAAUUUUGAAACUUCAAAUCCUGCAAUGUUAAUUCACCUGUUUGUAAUAUUUCGUACACCCAGAGUCAACAUAA